AAAAAGGUAGAGUAACAGCCAGCAGAUAACAAAUUGUGCCCAGAUAAACAUUCAAAUGUCAAUUAAUAUUGGGAAGGACGGUUUUCAAGAACACUUUAAUAUUUGAUUUUUAAUUCAUGAGAGUAAUACUGGGAAAUUGCGUUUAAAAGAUAAAAAAAAACCUAGAAAAUAUAAACCAACUCUUAAUUUUUGAGAUCUUAUCUACCAAGGUGACGUGAAGUUAUAUAUAUAUUACAGAGUUUCCUAUUGUUGUUGCUUCGCAGUCUACAAACCUAGGAAACUUUGAAAAGCAUGGGGUAAUCAAAUUGCUAUAGUGACGAGGAAGGGAUAAUAGCACAGUUGUAUAGUAUAUUUACAUCUGUGAUAAUAGCAUACGAAAAUUCAGAUGAGCCUUUGCGAACAGACGUUUAAUUGGAAUCAAAGACGACAAGUUGUCAUUUCGUUAGUGUACGAGGAACGUUUCAGGUCAAGAAAUUGCAUUUUAGAGGGUAGGUUAAUAAAAACUUUUUUCAAAUUUUUGGAGGAGCUAUCCUGAAGUCCUGCGUAUAUAUUAUGGAACACCCUGUAUAUGCGUGACCGAAUUCCUUAUCUAAUCCCAAAAGGUAUGGAGGAGUAAAUUUGCCUAUGGCCCAUUUUAAAUAACUCAACGCCUUUACAUUGCGUUACGCUAGGUGUGUACUUUCCAUGGCCCAUCUUUAAAAGAACACUCUGUAUAUAACUCGCAAUGGAUGGAGGUGUCAGGGUAAAUGAUGGAAUGAUUUCCCACACCCGAUAACCUUAAGUAUACUGGUACUGUAAAAAAAACCUAAAAAUAACUCACUCGUAUAACUCCCUCUUUAACGUAGGCAAACCUACCUCUUAAAAUAAUUCGCACAACAAUCAAAUUACAGUAACGAAUUCACAGAUACGUCAGUUCCACCUUCAACUGGCAGAAGCCUAAAAGAAUGCACGAAGAUAACGCCAAUAAUCAAUAUGGCCGUCUACUACCACGACGUGCGAGCUGCGUAAAAAAGUAUCAUAAUCGAGAUAAGUACACAUUAGUACACUAAACGGAAUGAAUCGCCAAAAAUAGCAAAGUUUUUCUUUAACAGGUAGCUACUUUAUAUCGGCGUACCGAAAAAUAAUUACCGAAAAGGGAGUGAAAAAUUUUACACGUGUUGGGGGACCUGCGCGCCUUCGCGAAUAAAUUGCAGCGGCAGGUGGUGCCCCCUGUAAAGAUGUUACGGGGGUUCCCCGACAAGUAAGAAUACCGAGUUCUACGUAAUGCAGAAAAUAAAUAAUUACAACUUACACAAUUGAUGCUUUCCAUAAAAUUUUACUUUUUUGUUUUAAUAAGUGGGUUCCGUUACAUGGAUAUGAUCUACAGUU